CAGAAAUUAUGCUUUUUUAGCAAUCCAGAAAAAGAAAAAAGAUAAUCAUUGAGAAUUUGUCGUUUCAAUCCCACCUAGGAACUUGAAGACCAACUAGUUUACGUACUCGUGUCAAAUUUACCUCCAGGAUGAUGGUGAUGAAGUAGCAUGGCACACCUACAAAGGGCAGCUUACAGAGAAGCAGGAGAAAACCCGUGACAAAAUAAUAAAAAGUGCUGAAUAAAACUGUGCAGCUCGGAAAGGAACUAUCCUCUCUACAAUCUGAACUGGGCAGGAUCUUGUUUCUACUGAAGAUUGCUGACCCAUCAGGAGAAGCUGAUCAGAAAACGAUUCGCAAGUGAAGGAUAAGAAACCUGAUAAAACAGAGGUGCCUGUUUCUGCCACCAAAAAGCAACCAC